AGCCUCAAUAGCCGCGCGUCACCUCUCCAGCCGGGAGAGGGUCGCGGGGUGCUUCUUUAGCCCCGCGCGCUCUCCCGGCUGGAGAGGUGACGCGGGGCU
rnacentral:miRNA from 1 species